CCUACGGGGGGCUGCAGUAAGGAAUAUUGGACAAUGGCCGCAAGGCUGAUCCAGCCAUGCCGCGUGCAGGAUGAAGGUGCUCUGCAUCGUAAACUGCUUUUAUCUGGGAAUAAACCCCUCUACGUGUAGAGGGCUGAAUGUACCAGAAGAAUAAGGAUCGGCUAACUUCGUGCCAGCAGCCGCGGUAAUACGAAGGAUCCAAGCGUUAUCCGGAUUUAUUGGGUUUAAAGGGUGCGUAGGCGGCUUAUUAAGUCAGUGGUGAAAGCCUGAAGCUCAACUUCAGAAUUGCCAUUGAUACUGAUGAGCUUGAGUAUAGUUGAGGUGGGCGGAAUGUGUCAUGUAGCGGUGAAAUGCUUAGAUAUGACACAGAACACCGAUUGCGAAGGCAGCUCACUAAGCUAUAACUGACGCUGAUGCACGAAAGCGUGGGGAGCAAACAGGCUUAGAUACCCCAGUAGUC
rnacentral:rRNA from 1 species